rnacentral:rRNA from 1 species
GACGAACGCUGGCGGCGUGCUUAACACAUGCAAGUCGAACGGAAAGGCCCUGCUUUUGUGGGGUGCUCGAGUGGCGAACGGGUGAGUAACACGUGAGUAACCUGCCCUUGACUUUGGGAUAACUUCAGGAAACUGGGGCUCAUACCGGAUAGGAGCUCCUGCUGCAUGGUGGGGGUUGGAAAGUUUCGGCGGUUGGGGCUGGACUCGCGGCUUAUCAGCUUGUUGGUGGGGUAGUGGCUUACCAAGGCUUUGACGGGUAGCCGGCCUGAGAGGGUGACCGGCCACAUUGGGACUGAGAUACGGCCCAGACGCCUACGGGAGGCAGCAGUGGGGAAUAUUGCACAAUGGGCGGAAGCCUGAUGCAGCAACGCCGCGUGCGGGAUGACGGCCUUCGGGUUGUAAACCGCUUUCGCCUGUGACGAAGCGUGAGUGACGGUAAUGGGUAAAGAAGCACCGGCUAACUACGUG